UACUGUUAACUGAUAAGCUUCGUUUUAAUGCAGACGCUAACUCUUAAUAUAUACGACCUUUAAUUUAUGUAGACUAGACUUGCUGAUUAUUGUCUGGCAUUGAGGAGGAGGAGGAGGAGGAAGAUGGGGAAGAAGAAGGGGGUUGUGAACUUGUGAUGGUGAUAGAUGAUUUUGGUUAUGGUGAUGCCUCUGGUUUAGGAAGAGAAGGAGGAAGAGGAGGAGGAGGAGGGAAAAAGAAAGAGAAGGAAAGAAGGAGUAGGGAAGAGAAAGGAGGAAGAAGGAGGAGGAAAAAGGUGAUGUUGGUUAUAUUGAUGCCUUGGGGAAGAAGAAAGAGAAGGGAAGAAGGACUAGGAGGAGGGAAGAAGGAGGUGGAGGGAACAAGGAAGAAGGAGGAGGAAAAAGAUGAAGUUGGUUACAGUGGUGCCUCAGGAUUAGGAAGAGGAGGAGGAGGAGGGAAGGAAGAAUUAUAAGACUAAGAAGAAGGAGGAGAAGGAAAAAGGAGGAAGAAUGAUGGCAGAUGAUUUUGGGUACAGUGAUGACUCUGGAUUAGGAAGAAGAGGAGGAGGAGGUGGAGGAGGGAAGAAGAAGGAAGUGUAGGAGGAAAGAAGGAAGGAUAACAAGACUGAAAAAGGAGGAGGAGGAGGAAAGAAAAUACUGAAAGACUGGAGGAGAAAGAGUUGAAGUCAGUGAAGUUAGUGGAGAAAGAAGAGAGGAAAUACUGAGAGAAAGACUGGAGGAGGAGGAGAAAGAGGAGUUGAAGAAAGAGAAGUUGGAGAAAGAGGGAAGAAAAUACUGAUAGAAAGGUUGAAGGAGGAGAAAGAGAAGUUGAAGAAAGUGAAGUUGGAGAAAGAUUAAAGAAAAUACUGAGAGAAAGACUGAAGGAGGAGGAGGAGGAAAAAGAUUAAAGGAAGAGCACAUCGAGAAAGGGAAGGAAAUAAAAUAAAAAGGAAGCAAGUUGAAAUUGAAGGAAAGCAGAAAUAGUAAAGAUAGAGGUGAAGGAAGGGGAGGAGAUAGAGAGA